rnacentral:rRNA from 1 species
GACGAACGCUGGCGGCGUGCUUAACACAUGCAAGUCGAACGGUGAAGGUGGAGCUUGCUCCGCCGGAUCAGUGGCGAACGGGUGAGUAACACGUGGGCAACCUGCCCCUCACUUCGGGAUAACUCCGGGAAACCGGGGCUAAUACCGGAUACGACCUCCUUGGGCAUCCUUGGAGGUGGAAAGUUUUUCGGUGAGGGAUGGGCCCGCGGCCUAUCAGCUUGUUGGUGGGGUGAUGGCCUACCAAGGCGACGACGGGUAGCCGGCCUGAGAGGGUGACCGGCCACACUGGGACUGAGAUACGGCCCAGACUCCUACGGGAGGCAGCAGUGGGGAAUAUUGCACAAUGGGCGCAAGCCUGAUGCAGCGACGCCGCGUGAGGGAUGACGGCCUUCGGGUUGUAAACCUCUUUCAGCACCGACGAAGCGCAAGUGACGGUAGGUGCAGAAGAAGGACCGGCCAACUACGUGCCAGCAGCCGCGGUAA